rnacentral:rRNA from 1 species
UACGGAGGAUCCGAGCGUUAUCCGGAUUUAUUGGGUUUAAAGGGUGCGCAGGCGGGGGAUUAAGUCGGCGGUGAAAUUUUGCAGCUCAACUGUAAAAGUGCCUUCGAAACUGGUUUCCUUGAGUGUAGAUGAAGUAGGCGGAAUUUGUGGUGUAGCGGUGAAAUGCAUAGAUAUCACGAGUAACUCCGAUUGCGCAGGCAGCUUACUAAACUACUACUGACGCUCAGGCACGAAGGCGUGGGGAUCAAACAGGAUUAGAUACCCCUGUAGU